UCAAGUCCGGUUACGAUCAC
rnacentral:snRNA from 1 species